rnacentral:rRNA from 1 species
CUGGUUGAUCCUGCCAGAGGUCACUGCUAUCGGGGUUCGAUUAAGCCAUGCGAGUCGGGAGGGGUCAAGCCCUCGGCAUACUGCUCAGUAACACGUGGACAACCUGCCCUGCGGUGAGGGAUAACUCCGGGAAACUGGAGAUAAUACCUCAUAGUUUACCAUCGCUGGAAUGCCUGGUAAGCGAAAGGUCCGCCGCCACAGGAUGGGUCUGCGGCCGAUUAGGUUGUUGUUGGGGUAACGGCCCAACAAGCCUGUGAUCGGUACGGGUUGUGGGAGCAAGAGCCCGGAGAUGGAUUCUGAGACACGAAUCCAGGCCCUACGGGGCGCAGCAGGCGCGAAAACUUUACAAUGCAGGCAACUGUGAUAAGGGAACCCCGAGUGCCCGUAUGGACGGGCUGUUCAGGUGCUUAAAAACCACCUGGAGAAAGGGCCGGGCAAGACCGGUGCCAGCCGCCGCGGUAAUACCGGCGGCUCGAGUGGUGGCCACUAUUACUGGGCUUAAAGCGUCCGUAGCUUGGUCGUUAAGCCUCUGGGGAAAUCUUCCGGCUCAACCGGAAGGCGUCUCAGGGGAACUGGCGGCCUAGGGAUCGGGAGAGGUGAGAGGUACUCUGGGGGUAGGAGUGAAAUCCUGUAAUCCUCAGGGGACCACCUGUGGCGAAGGCGUCUCACCAGAACGACUCCGACAGUGAGGGACGAAAGCUGGGGGAGCAAACCGGAUUAGAUACCCGGGUAGUCCCAGCCGUAAACGAUGCGCGUUAGGUGUAUCGGUGACCACGAGUUACCGAGGUGCCGAAGGGAAACCGUGAAACGCGCCGCCUGGGAAGUACGGUCGCAAGGCUGAAACUUAAAGGAAUUGGGCGGGGGGAGCACCACAACGGGUGGAGCCUGCGGUUUAAUUGGAGUCAACGCCGGA